AACCAGCCAUGCCGCGUGCAGGAAGACGGCUCUAUGAGUUGUAAACUGCUUUUCCGGAGGAAUAAAAUCAUAUACGUGUAUAUGACUUGAAGGUACUUUGGGAAUAAGGAUCGGCUAACUCCGUGCCAGCAGCCGCGGUAAUACGGAGGAUCCAAGCGUUAUCCGGAUUUAUUGGGUUUAAAGGGUGCGUAGGCGGGUUAAUAAGUCAGCGGUGAAAACCUUCAGCUUAACUGGAGACUUGCCGUUGAUACUGUUAGUCUUGAGUACGGUUGAGGCAGGCGGAAUGUGUAGUGUAGCGGUGAAAUGCUUAGAUAUUACACAGAACACCGAUUGCGAAGGCAGCUUGCUAACCCGGGACUGACGCUGAUGCACGAAAGCGUGGGUAUCAAACAGGAUUAGAUACCCUGGUAGUCCACGCAGUAAACGAUGAUCACUCGUUGUCGGCGAUAAACAGUCAGCGGCCAAGCGAAAGCGUUAAGUGAUCCACCUGGGGAGUACGGUCGCAAGGCUGAAACUCAAAGGAAUUGACGGGGGCCCGCACAAGCGGAGGAACAUGUGGUUUAAUUCGAUGAUACGCGAGGAACCUUACCCGGGCUUGAAAGUUAGUGAUUCUUGAGAAAUCAGGAUUUCCCUUCGGGGCUCUAUACAAGGUGCUGCAUGGUUGUCGUCAGCUCGUGCCGUGAGGUGUCGGGUUAAGUCCCAUAACGAGCGCAACCCUUACCGUCAGUUGCCAUCGGGUAAAGCCGGGGACUCUGGCGGGACUGCCGGUGUAAACCGAGAGGAAGGUGGGGAUGACGUCAAAUCAGCACGGCCCUUACGUCCGGGGCUACACACGUGUUACAAUGGUCGGUACAGAGGGCAGCUACCCUGCGAAGGGAUGCGAAUCUCGAAAGCCGAUCUCAGUUCGGAUCGGAGGCUGAAACUCGCCUCCGUGAAGUUGGAUUCGCUAGUAAUCGCGCAUCA
rnacentral:rRNA from 1 species